UACGUGAGGGGCGAACGUUGUUCGGUGUCACUGGGCUUAAAGGGUGCGUAAGUGGUUGCGUAAGUAACGUGUGAAAUCCCUCGGCUUACCCGGGGAAUUGCGCGUUAUACUGCGUGACUUGAGGAUUUCAGGGGAAUGGGGAACUCCAGGUGUAGCGGUGAAAUGCGCAGAUAUCUGGGGGAAGGCCGGCGGCGAAGGCGCAUUCUGGGAAAUUCCUGACACUGAGGCACGAAAGCGUGGGGAGCAAACAGG
rnacentral:rRNA from 1 species